GAUCACUUCUAACAUCAAAUUUUUCCCUUCUUAUAAUGCGGCAAAAGGCUCUAUUCUUCCUUAAACUUGAAAUAAAAAGUUAAGGAAAAU